UAACUAAUGGCUAAAGUACAAGUGGUAAAUCACGACUUUCGAUUUUCACGAGUUGUUCAAUGCGACAAGUCGUGAGAUUUUACGAAUUUAACGAGUCGUACGAAUAUUGUGAAGGUCUUACUAAUAGCUAAACCACGACUCGUGAAUCACGACUUUCGAAUUUCACGAGUCGUUGCAUGCGACAGUAUUGGACAUGUUUGCCAACCCCCCCCCGAAAAUUACAUUUCCAGCCAAAGAAAAGUCCCUUUUUCCCAAAUUUAUACAAACAAACCAGUGAAGAAUAACAAAUAGAUAAACGGAAAUUGAGUUUUAGGCUUUAUCCUUUGUCCUUGUUUAGCAAAAUCGAUUUAAAUUGUUACGUUUUUCUACCACUAAGUAAUGACAAAUUAUUGUUAAUAAUUAUGUUAUUUUUUGGAUGCUCAGAAUGCAAAACUUUUCUGGAGAGUAUGCCUUACACACGUGGCUUUCAGCCAUUGCUAUCCCCCUCUAAUAAGCAUUGAUAAAUUACAAUGUAAAAACUGAUAGGUUAAAAUAACAAAAAAAAAUAGGUUAUUUGGUUUGGUCUAGGACAACCCGAUAAAUAUAGGUUAUUUCAAUAGGUUAAAAGAACCGAAAAUGAAUAGGCUAAAACAAACCAUUAAAAAUGGGUUGGUUUAUACCCAUAAGAAAUAGGUUGU